CAGUACCACAAACACUAAACUUGUGGCUUAUUGUUGGCUUUGGAAAGGAAUCAACUUUUUAUAGGAUUUGGUUCCAACCAUAAAAAUUAAAUGGAUCUCCAUUUUCAUGUGAAGCUACUUUUCGUGCCAAAAUGCUGAGUCGAGUGUGUCACAAUAAAGAGCUAUGAUCUUAAAACAGUAAAUCGACUGAAAAGUUUCACAUAUAAACCAUUAGACAUGAUAAAACAUUCCCAAAAAGAAUUUUUGACGCAAUAUUCAACUAUUAGUUCAAAUAUUAGUUAAUGAAAUUAAGUUAGUAUAUUUUCAUGACUAUAAAGCGCUCCUAAAAGUCUUAAAUUUUCUCAAAAGCCGACAACGCACCAUAUAAUCUAAUGUGCCUUAUAAAUGGAUCAAAAUUGAUUAAUCAUGGCUACUGUAGACAGGGGGCGCAGCCAAAGUAACAGCGGUAAGAACUGGGUAAAGAGGAAUUCCAAUCCCACACUAUUCGUAUGUAUGGGAAAACCCCAAAAUGGCUUUUUUCAAGAGACAAGCUUAAAACACAGAGCUCAAACUAAACACUAUCAGUCACGAAACAGACCAUGGGAAACGUGCAGCAGUGAGAGAAUUCCACAUUAACAGAUCAAUGGUGCGGAAGUGGAGGAAGCAACAAGAUGGACUGCACCAAGCAAAGAAGACGAGACAGAGUUUCAGAGGGGAAAAAAGCAAGACGGGCACAGUUAAAGGACAAACUCCAACAGUGGGUUGUUGAACAGUGAGCGACAAGUAGAAGCGUCUCAACAGCCACCUUUCGAAUGAAGGGUCACGAGGAGCUACAGCAGUGCUAAUCCUGGCAGAAUGCAAGGGACGACAGAAGAGAAGGAAGCAAGCCCGAGGAGCGACAAGGGGGCCCCACCGCCCCCACCAGGAGCCGGAUGGAGGUGGACCCAGGCAGAUAUUAGGAGAGGACAACUCACUGGUCAAAGUUAGCACGGAGUUAUUUCCCUUUCCUUCCUGACCCAAAAUGGCUGCCUCAAGUACACAUGGAGCAUUUUUCAAGAGAAGAAAGGGAGAAAGCUCAGCAUCCCGUCUGCCAUCUCCUGGUGGAUCCACAACUUUCUGAUGGGCAGGACACUGCAGGUGAGGCUGGGGGCGAGUGGCGAGACUGGAGCUUUGGUGUGAUCAACACAACCUGGCAUUGAACAUUCUAAAGCAGAGGUGGGCAAACUACGGCCUGCGGAUCACAUCUAGCCUGUUGGUCUUUUUAAUACGGCCUGCCAAAGAUUGGUAGGGAAUUAAGGUAUGAUUGCAUUCAUUUUCACUUGUAAUGGCAGGCAUUCAACACUAAGUGGCAGAGUAGGUGCAGUGUUUUGAUUUAACGGACCGCAAGCCAUUUCCUGUUAUGUCUUUUUCUACUGGUCAGAUCAGAACCCAUAUACAACAAUUUUAAAGAAAAGAAAAGUCCAUAGUAAGUGCCUGGUGUUUAAGAAAGAAUGGAUACCUAAAUACUGAAGUCCGGUCCAUGAUUGUAUGUUUUAUUUGCCAAGAAAUUGUUGCAGUUUUAAAAGAAUACAUCAGCUGUCACUUUUCUACCAAGCAUGCUAAUAAACCCAGCAACCUUUCAUCACAAGAACGUACGGCGACUGCUGACAGGUUGGUAGCUAGGUUACAGGCUGAGCAAAACACCUUUAUUCGAGCAUCUUCCAUCCAAGAAGCAAGCACGAAGACAAAAGCCAGCAAGCCUUUCUCCGAAGGGGAGCUUCUUAAAGAAUGCAUGAUGGAGAAAAUGGGCAUUUUAUGUCCUGAGAGCAAGAACAAAUUUGAAAAUAUUAGCUUAUCACACAGCUUAGUGACUCGCCGUAUUGAAGUAAUUGACGAACACUUAACUGGUGAGUUAAACAGGAAAGCCGAGUCAUAUACAUUGUAUUCUUUGGCAAUGGACCAUAGCAAUGAUACAAAGGAUACUGCUCAGCUUUUAAUUUUUAUCAGAGAGAUUAAUGUGAAUUUUGAAAUAACAGAGGGAGUUUUGGGAUAUGGAAUCUCAAAGGAAAAAUAUGUGAAGAGGAUUUUUUUUAACAGCGUGUCAGCAGUCAUACAGAAGCACAAGUUACCCUCGCCACCAUUACAGCUGAUGGAUCACCAAAUCUGAGGAAAAAGCAUUGGGAUGCUCAAGAGAAUUCAGGACAGGGGGAGAGAGGACAACCCUGAGCAGGAUCUAAUUUUCUACACUGCAUAAUUCAUGAAUAAGCACUGUGGAAAUAAGUGUUGCAGCUUGACCACGUAAUUAAGCCAGUUAUGAAACAUGUUAACUUUAUAGAGCAAGCGGACUUCACCAUCGUCAGUUUAUUAAUUUUCUUGAAGAAACUGACGCUGAGCACACGUACUUGUUUUACUCAUGUCUAAUGUCCGCUGGUUACGUUUAGGAAAAGUAUGUCAGCGUGUAUGGAGUCUUCUUUUCCUUUCAGGUUGUCCCAUUAGGGGUCACCACAACGUGACAUCUUUUUCCAUCUAAGCCCCAGACAACUUAGCUCCUAGGAUCAUUGGGACACACAAGCGCCUCCACCAUGAUAAGGUGACGGCUCAAAUGGGCCGAUCUUGAGCAUCUUCCUUUCAAACACCCACUGUCCUCAUGUCUUCCCUCACAACAUCCAUCAACCUUCUGUUUGGUCUUUCUCUCGCUCUUUUGCCUGGUAGCUCCAUCCUCACCACCCUUCUACCAAUAUACUCACUCUCUCGCCUCUGGACAUGUCCAAACCAUUGUCUGCUGUAUCGUACCUUAUCUCCAAAACAUCCAACUUUGGCUGUGCCGCUAAUUAGCUAAUUUCUAAACCUACCCAACCUGCUCAUGCCGAGCGAGACUCUUCUGUCACAUAAUACACCAGAGAGCUUCUGCCAGCUGUUCCCACCUGCUUGGACCAGUUUCUUCACUUCUUUACCACAUUCACCAUUGCUCUGGAUUGUUGACCCCAAGUAUUUGAAGUCGUCCACCCUCACAAUCUCUUCUCCCUGUGGCCUACCACUUCCCGCUCCACCACUCACUUCACGCACAUAUUCUGUUUUACUUCGGCUAAUCUUCAUUCCUCUCCUUUCCAGUGCAUGCCUCGAUCUUUCAAAUUGUUCCUCCACCUGCUCCCUGCUUUCACUGCAUAUCACAAUACCAUCUGCAAAGAUCAUGGUCCAAGGGGAUUCCAGUCUAACCUCAUCUGUCAGCCUAUCCAUUACCACAGCAAACAGGAAGGGGCUCAGAGCUUAUCCCUGAUGCAGUCCCACCUCCAUCUUAAAUUCUUCUGUCACACCCACAGCACACCUCACCACUGUUCUGUUACCCUCAUACAAGUCCUGUACUAUUCUAACAUUUCUUCGCCACACCAGACUUACGCAUGCAGUACCACAGUCUGUCACUGUCACUCUGUCAUAGGCUUUCUCUAGAUCCACAAAGACACAAUGUCGCUCCUUCAGACCUUCUCUGUACUAUUCAAUUAGCAUCCUCAAGACAAAUCAUUCAGCUGUGGUACUCUUUCUAGGCAUGAAACCAUACUGUUGCUCGCAGAUACUGACUUCUGACCUGAAUCUACCCUCCACUACUCUUUCCUAUAACUUCAUUCUGUGGCCCAUCAACUUUAUUUCUCCAUAGUUGUCACAGCUCCGCAAGUCCCCUUUGUUCUUAAAAAUGGGAACUAGCACACUUUUCCUCCAUUAUUCAGGCAUUUUCUCACCCGCUAGUAUUCUGCUGAAUAAAUUGAUAAAAAACUCCAAAGCCACCUCUCCAAAUUGCUUCCAUAUCUCCACCAGUAUGUUAUCAGGACCAAUUGCCUUUCCAUUUUUCAUCCUUUGAAAUGCCUUUCGAACUUCCCCCUUGCUAAUCAUUGCCACGUUCUGGUCCUUCACACUUGCCUCUCCUACUCUUCCUUCUCUCUCAUUUUCUUCAUUCAUCAACUUCUCAAAGUAUUCUUUCAUCUAAUCAGAACAUUACUGGCACCAGUCAACACAUUUCCAUCUCUAUCCUUAAUCACACUUACCUGCUGCACAUCCUUCCCAUCUCUGUCCAUCUGUCUGGUCAACCUGUAGAGAUUCUUUUCUCUUUUCGUAUCCAACCUGGGGUACAUGUCGUCAUAUGCUUCUUGUUUAGCCUUCACCACCUCUACCUUUGCGCUACGUCGCAUUUCAAUGAAUUUUUUUUCGCCUCUCCUCAGUCCUCUCACUGUCCCACUUCUUCUUUGAUAAUCUCUUUCCCUGUAUGACUUCCUGUAUUUUGGGGUUCCACCAAGAGGUCUCCUUCUCCCCUUUCCUACUAGACAACACACCAUGUACUCUCCUGCCUGUCCCUCUGAUCACCUUGGCUGUAGUAGUCCAGUCUUACGGGAGCUCCUCCUGUCCAUCGAGAGCAUGUCUCACCUCUUUCUGAAAGACUGCACAACAUUCUUCCACUUUGCUCUACCUUUGUCUUCUUACCCACCACCAUAGUCAUCCCACACACCACCAUCCGAUGCUGUCGACCUACACUCUCCCCUACCACUACUGUACAGUCAGUAACCUCCUUCAGAUUACAUCGUCUGCACAGAAUAUAAUCCACCUGUGUGCUUCUACCUCUGCUCUUGUAGGUCACUAUAUGUUCCUCCCUCUUCUGGAAAUAAGUGUUCACUACUGCCAUUUCCAUUCUUUUUGCAAAGUCCAACACCAUCUGUUCCUCAAAGUUCCUUUCCUUGAUGCCGUACUGACCCAUCACUUCUUAAUCGCCCGUGUUUCUUUCACCAACAUGUUACUAUCUGCACCAAUCACAACUCUCUCUCUGUCUGGGAUGCUCAGAAUUACGUCAUCUAGUUCCUUUCAUAAUUUCUCUUUCAACUUUCGGUCACAUCCUACCUAAUCACAUUAUACAUAACACCCUCAAUUUCAAGCUUCAGCCUCAACUCCUGACAUUUUCCUGUCAUAGUCCCAACAUUCAAAGUCCCUACAUUCAGUUGUCGGCUCUGUGCCUUCCUCUCUUUCUUCUGCCGACUAAGCCACUUACCUCCUCUUCUUUGUCUUCGACUCACAGUAGAUGAAUUCCCACCGACACCCUGCAAGUUAACGGUGCCGGGGGGCGGGCAGUGUUAACCCAAGCCACGACCAAUCCGGUAUGGGAUUAGUUUGUGUGAACGCUCAUAUGUCUUUGGCACAGUUUUUACGCCGGAUGCCCUUCCUAACGCAACCCUCUGCAUUUACCUUCAAGUUCUUGGGAAUUUCAGCCUCAGAGGACCUGAAGUGGGAGAUUAACAUCAACUCCAGCCUCAAAAAAGCCCUGCAAAGGAUGUAUUUCUUGCAGCUUCUGAGGAAGCACAGCCUGUCACAAGAGCUGCUUAGACAGUUCUAUGCAGCGGUAUUAGAAUCAGUACUAUGUACCUCCAUCACAGUCUGGUUUGGGACUGCCACAAAAAAGGAAAAAAAAAAAAAACUCCGACUACAACGGACAAUCAAAACUGCUGAAAGGCUUGUCGGCACCACUCUUCCCACCCUUGAAGACUUGCACACCACUCGAACUAGGUCCAGCGCAGGCAGGAUCCUUUCGGAUACUGGCCACCAAUUCUUCCAGCUGUUUCUGUUGGGUAAGCACUGCUGAUCAAUGCAAGUCAAAACUAGCAGGCAUUCAAACGUUUUUUUUCCCCUCUGACAAUUAAGUCAUUAAAUUCUUGAUCAGCGAACCUACUAUUUUCUGCCUUGUGCCAUUCUUGGGACACAUCUUCAAAUCCCUUUGAUCCAAUCAGUGUUAGUAUUUGUAAUAUAUUUUGUAGCGUAUCGCACGAUUCAUCACUUUAAACUGCUCUCUUUGCACAAUCGUCACUGCACCGGUCUCUAACGGGAACUUCAAACAGAUAAAGGAACUCAAGCAUAACACAAUGUGGGGAGUUGUCACACUCUUACCUGUUCUAAAUGAAGACGAAAUGUGGAUUAAUCUGUUUCGUCACAUUGGACUGCUAUUAUUCUGAGUAAAUAAACAGAAUGUUUCUCAUUCUUUGUUCUUAUUACUUUGUUGUCCUUUGUUCUGAAUGUCGUACUAGGGCAGCACCGACCGAGAAAAAUUCCUUGUGUUUUUUACACACUUGGCCAACAAAGCUGAUUCUGAUUCUGAUAAAGUCAAUCAAUAUUUCCUGUGGGAACAUUUGUUUUGAAACUUGCAUUUCCCUAGUAUUUUACAUCAACUAAUCAUCAAUUCAUUUGAGGGUCGCAGGCACACAGGAGCCUAUCCGAGCUAUAUUCGGGCGAGAGGUGGGGUACCCCAUAAACUGGUCAUCAGCCAAUUGCAGGGCACAUCACCAUUUGGACUCACAUUCACACCUAUGGGGAAUUUGGAGUAUUCAAUUAAACUGCUAUGCAUAUUUUGGUGAUGUGGGAGGAAAAUGAAAAAAAAUGAAGAUCACCCACGCAGUCAUGGGAAGAACAUGCAAACUUUAAAUACGCGGGGCCGGAUUUGAACAUGGGUCUGAGAACUGUGAGGCAGCAAAUGUGCUACCUAUCCAUGGUGCCAUUGUUGAGUUAAUCCAUCAAAUUGUAAUUUCAUUACCUUCAUGCCUUCAACUUUUAGGCUCCUUUGUUUUUUUUUGAAAAGCAGAAAGGUUUGCUGUCUGAUGAUGCCAAUUUUUUUUUAAAUAAAAGUUUGCUGUCUGAUUAUGCAGAUUUUUUUUUUUUAAAAUGCGUAUUUCAAACAUUACUUUCUCUUGUAUGUUAACUGUGAGGGGAUGAAGGAGAUUUCAAUAUACAGGGGAGUUGUCAGGUUAAAACGGUCUAAACCUACAUUUUUUGACUUUAAGAUGUUUCUUGUCUGCCAUUAUGACCCCAGCACCAUAGUGUUUGUGCUUAGCUCAUGCAUAUUGCUUAUUCGUGUUUGUGUGCUGAGACUAUAUUUGCCUUUUUCGCCCACCUUUUUACACAUUAUGGCCCAAAAGAAAAAGCUGGGUUUUUUUAGCAGUGCUUGCCUAGCUGAAAGAAAAGCAAUGAGCGUCAAAACAAAGCUUAAUAUCAUAAAUAAAUAAAUAAAAUCAGCGAAAGAAGUAUCAUUAGUAAAGUCAGUAAAGACUUGUGCUUCGGUCAGUCAACCAUGGCAAUUAUUAAGGACAAACCCGUAU